ensembl:lncRNA
UGAUGCUUCUGUCAGUUGUUUGAACUCUCAUUCUGACGGCACCCAUUCACUCCAGAGGAUCCAUUGAUUAAUGAUGCCCCCAUGGAGAUGUAUCUGAAGGACAGUAUGUGUGAGGGGACGUCUGAUCUCCUCUCCGCCCUCACCAUGGGACCGGCCUGCAGGGCGGACCAGACAGCUCUGGCGUUCCUGCUCUGUAUCCAGACUAAUUUCAUAAAAGACAGAGAUUAUUCCCAGAGAAAGCACUGUAGGUCACACUGAUCAAGGACACAAAAGAGUCUUAUUAUAAAGAAAGAGUGCAAGAAUGAUAGAAUUAGGAGGGGAGACUUAUGAAACAAGACAGUGGUUGUUUUGAAGAUAAAAGCUUCUUAUUAUUUGUGCACACUGAAUUUGACCCAUGUUUUUACAGAAUGGAUUUUACACAUUAAUGUACCUGAUGUACUAUAUGAAGUAAAUAUAAAUUGUAUUAUUAAUAUUAAUAUUUAUAAUUAAAUGUGUUUGUUAGCUUGACUCUGUACAGUGAUACUCCCAUAUAAACUGAUUGUUAGAACAUACUAGAAACUGACAUGAGCAUCAUCUAUUAAUUUAUUCAAAAAUUUAAUAUGCAAGGCUUUAAUAUACAUCUUCUUUGAUUUUUGUAUUAAAAUCCAUUUUGGUAAUUUCGGGGGGCAAAAGGUCAGGGUGAGGAAAAUAUUUUGAUAUCAUAGUGAUCAGUGAUAUCAUAAAUGUAUUGUAUUUUAAUGAUAUCAUAAUGAAUAAAAAAAUACAGUUCUUGAAAAGAACACUUUAGUUUGACAUAUUCUAUAAUAUUUUAUUAUUGUUUCUGAGGGGAAAAAAAAUCAAACCUGUAACAAACCUGCUUUACCCCUUAUUAAUAUUUGAUAAACUAUUUUCUAGCAACUCAAGUAGAUGUCUAACCAGCAUGCAAGAAAAAUAAAAUAAAAUAAAAUCAUAGUGAAGACCCCAGCAGGACUGUGUGUAAGUCAAUAAAAAAAUACAAAUUCUGAUAUUUUGACCUUUUUAAGGCAAGGUUAGUUGUAAAAUGUUGUGUGGUGAAAAGGUAUUUAUGAUAUGAUUCUUCCUUUUCUUUAUACCGUAACACUGUAAAGCUCCUUUGACAAUCUGCAUUGUAAAAAGCGCUAUACAAAUAAUGGUGACUUGACUUGACUUUAUUGUGGACACUCUUAUGACAGUUUGUGAACAGGCAGUAAUUUAAAAUAAAAAGAUAACUUUAUGGAAAAAGACAAAUUUUGCAUGAUUGUAUCGCAUAGAAAAAAAAUACAUCUGGGUGGAUAAGCAAAAGCCUAUAAUAAGCCAAAUAAAGAAUUACUUUCUUACCUUACCAACCAAAUUAUUUAUGUCUGCUAGGCAAAUGUCAUGUCACAUAAUUAAUAUUCAUGAACAAACCUGAUGUAUUUUAUAUUGUGGCACUCUUUUUUCAAAUCAUCCCUACAUCCCUGAUUUUCUAUAAAUAGAUAUGUCCCGAAAAUGUAAAGAAUUAGCUUGAACAAUUUAUGAAAAUGAAGUUAAGAUGCAGCAAAUUAAUGAAUGUCAUAUGAGACAUUUUCAGUGCUUCAGUGCUUUUGGUACUUAUUUAGGAGCGUCCCUACAGCAGUAAUGACUGUAACAGCCCAGUUUUAGUUGGCCAGUUCACACUAAGAAAAAGCCUCUGAAACCAUACCAUGCCUUCAUGCCUGUUUCACUAAGUGUGUGUGCCCAUCUCAAAGCCAAUCCCUGAGCAGGGCAAAGGGGUGGGGGGUUAACAGGUGACAGUGGGGGGCAUAAGGCGGGCCAGGAGAGAACAUGCUGGCAGCACAGUUUGAGCUCCAGAGAAAUUUUGUCACUCUUGUCACUCUCUCCAAAAACCCUUGAAUCAAGCUCACCCCCCUCCCUGCAUCCAUCUGGACCCCUGCAGGAGACCAACCGCACCCUGAGCAGUGCCUGUAUCCCUUCAUACACGUGCACACACACAUACUUAACUGACCACACCCACACACCAGUCACACACGCAGCUGUCUUUCCCUUCCUCCUGGCAGGUUACCCCCCAGCAGAGUGUCAGUCCACUGUGUUCUCUUCCCCAGCCAGCUGGCAGCUCGUCAUGGGCAGGGCGGCUCUCGGCUCCCUGCUCUCAUCACUCGGCAGUGGGGAGGACAGGCUGACUGGCUGGCAUAUGCUGGUUCCGACCUCCACACGCCACUGCGGUGCUCUCUGUCUCUUAUCCUGGCUCCGUGUCCAUCAGUCGUCGCACAGAUCACACCAUUUACCUCCGCUGUGAGUGUGAAACGGGGCAGCUGUCGAACAAAACAUCAUUUUUAAAAGUGUAAUAGGGAGUUUCUGAUCUCACAAUAAAUCUAGCAUAUGACUCAUGACCAGCUAAAGACCAGCUUAAACCAGCUCAAACCAGUGAAAUGCUUCAAAACAUAUCUAACCAGCAUAUGCUGUUUUUUUUUUUUUCAAUAGGUACAAGACAGAAUGCCCUGUAUAACCCUCUUUUCCUGUAUCAGAUCCAAAAGGAUUGAUUCCUCCCUCUCUACUAGUGUUGGUUUUCACCUGUGUACUUAUUGCAAUGCUUCCAUACUUCCAGAAGUGGUAUAGCAGGCCAGCUGGGUGGUAUUAGAGCAGAUUAUCACCCCAUUAUUUGCGCUGUUUGCACAGCAUACCCACCAUGUAAAAGCCAGUUUCACCAUGGUCACGGUAGACCUUUCAUCUGCAUGACUGGCAGCUGUAUUCCACCGCAGUUGGGCCUGAGUGAGAUAUCCAGGUGUAGCCAGAAGAGACUUUCUCUAAAUGAAGCCCACAGUGGGGGAUUCCUCGCAGGUGUCUCCCUGGUUAGUGGAAGGCCUGUUUGGCAAUGCCGAAUACCCCAAGCACUGCCAGGCUGUUUACAUCCUCUGUGCAUGUCCAAUCAGACUGGGCUUCCAGGGAAACAUGUUCUGCAUCCAGCCUGGUGCUCAGUAGGCACUACUCUCUGACUGAUGCAAUUCUCCCAGAGCUUUGCCAGCAAGGAACACACACAAAUACUUUGCUGCAAGAUUGCUGCGGUAUCAGUGCAAGUACCAUCGGCACAAAAAUUUAAAAAUGAAACAUGAGCAUGUGAUUUGGAAGGUUUCCAUUCAUUGUUAUCUGUCUCUAUAAACCGUCAAAAGUUAAUUAGACAUUAAACAAUGAUUUGUAUCUAUUUUUAAUGAAUGAUAGGUGUGUUUCCUUAUUUUCUCCUGUUUUCAUUCAAGGAAAAUUGGCAGAUAUUUAUACUUCCAAGAUCCAAAAAAAAAAGCACCGGGAAAGUGUUCUGAAAUGAUCAGAAUACAUAUGGUAGCCUUGUCUGAGGAACAGACAAAAAAACGAAGCCCUUAUUCACCACACUAUUACUUUAAGAAAACCUGACACAAGUGUAAACACACAAACAUUGUCCUAGCACACACUAUGUACAAUCUCUCCUGUGCAGCCGUGGUAGACAGGCUUCCAACACGCAGAGGAUUAGGUCUGCUUUUACUGUUCAGCGUGGCAUAGUAAUUACCCUUUCUGUAUGUGUGUCUCUCAGAACACAGAACACUGAUCUAAGAACCCAUGCUGUUGCUCCACCACUGCAGGACCCUACUGAUCCAGAAGAAGGAGAGAAAGAGAGAGAGAGAGAGAGAGAGAGGUGGAUUGAGCCUCAGCCUUGUCAGGAUGGAUUAAAGAAAAGACUUUGAGGGUUUUUUCAGAAACGCUGAAACUGAGCUUCCUGCUCUCUCCACAGUUCUUUUACUCCUGGCUCUUGCUUUUAUCCUUUUUUUUAUCUCAAGCCAUUCAUUAAUAGUCCCAGAAAUUAACGAGCACGUCAUACAUCCGUGAACACCUCCAAUAAACCAUCAGGGAGGCCUCGGAAUGACAGAUGACAUCCGUCCGUCUCUGUAUGGGAAAGCACGGCCUGACAAGCUGAAAAAGAAGAUGUCACUCAUCUAAUGGAAUCUCUUAGCCCUGCCCACUUCAGUGAGCAAUAAACAUGUAAACGUGCAAAGAAACACUGGGCCUCUGAAUUUCAAACCUGACCAUCUUGCUCACACACACUCCCAAAGCACAGCCUUUGGUAAUUAAGCUAUCCAUUGUGAAGGCAGGGUUUGAUAACGUACUUCUCUUUAUUCAGCAAUAUUUAUGUCUCAUCUCUGCAUAGCGCAAGGAGUAUUGUACACUUGAAAAGAUCCAUGAAGAGCCUCAAUCACACACAAGACACACACAUGCAUGCAAACACACACCCACCACACAAUCACACUCAUCUCCUCAAGAGGACAUUAUUGGAAACUCCCUGCAGAAAACAUUAUUUCAGGCCUGCGGAAUAAAUGAGGACAGUUUGGUGGAAGGCUGCUGGUAACCUGCAUGGCUUAUUUUAACCUGUCUCAUUACAACAACCUUUUUAAUUUUACUGAGUGGUACCUGUCAAAAAAAAGAAGAAGAAGAAGAAACUUGUUCAGAGGUUCUCCUGUCUCCCUCUCUCUCCCUGUCUGAUUGAUGUUCUGAGGAGGCAUUAACACUUCUCUCCAUGCCUGUACUGAAGUUAAUACAUGGGAAAGAUGGAUUACGCUACGUAUGGGCGAUGGCUUCCAGAAAGAUGGCUCAGGAAUCAAUAAUGAGUUUGUCCUCCCCUCUUUCUUUUCCAUGCUCGUCGCUUGCUUCACUGCAAUUAAAUAAAACCACAUUUGCAUAUGGAAGAAUAAUUAAAACAAACAAACCUCUAGGACAACACUCUCUCCCACAGGAGAGAAAUCCAGAGAUGAGGAGGACCCAAAAAUGAAAAAUGCCCCUCACUGAAGGGUGUAAUUGCACAGCUCAGCUCCUCGUCCAUUAAUCCUGUCAAUUCAGUUCUUCACCAGUUCUUCUUGCUCUCCUUUACAGCUUCAGCACAGUCAUGAGGCAUGAAUAUACAGAUGAUGUGGGUCUUGAUGAAGAAGUUUAACGAGUGAAACUACAGACCAACUUUACUCAUUAGGACAAAUGUGAGUGAUCCAUUAAGACUUGUUUGUAAUAUGCAGUAAUGUUGAAGCAUAUAUGAGGGAGGCUAUUGAGGACUUCAAUCAUAAAGACACCAAGGUAUGCGCUGUGCGUAAUCUUCCUCGGAGAACUCGAGAAUAACUUUUCUCUUUUCCCAAAUGUGCAUGAAAGUUAUUCGUAGAGUGUCCUCUGUCUGAAGACUCCUGUGUAUCUAGGAGCUAAAAUGAAUAUGUGUGUGUGUGUGUGUGUGUGUGUGUGUGUGUGUGUGUGUGUGUGUGUGUGUCUGUGUUUUUGCAUACAUGCGUUCUUGCAUUUGCAGUGUUGGAGUCUUUGAAAGGACUCCCUGCUGAUGCUGCAGGCAAGGAGCCAUUGCUCGAGAGUCAUGUAAGCAGGAGAGAGAAACCCGCUAAAAACUCAAUUUCAACUUCAUUUGAAGCCCGGGGAUAAAAGAUAGACAAUCUCCCAGCAUUCCCACAACCUCAACGAGGCUCUAUCAGUACACAGACGCAUGAGCCCUGGCACGGUCUGUGUGGUAGUGGGCAGGGUACCAGCCACAGAAACACAUGUUAGUCCAGAGAGAAUACCACCUCCUGGAGAGACUCUGCAAUGCUGUGAAAGAGCAGGCCAGGUUGGCAGCUCAACAGGCAAGGCACACAGUCCUAAGGGGGCAACUUGAGUAUAAUCCUCCGUAGUCAUGGUAUGGCGAGCCAUGCCUGGUUCCUCAAGUGCUGACUGUGCAGAUGCCUGUGGUUCUUCUGGAACCUCUUGAUGGGCAAAUAUGUACCAAAGUAGAGAUUAAAUUCAGAAAUUCAUGAUUCAAAUUCAUGAAAAAAUUAGCAUGAUUAAAUUUUCAUUUUAAAGGUGAGGGAAUACCAUGACAUCCUGGUUCUUUUGAAAGCUGUUCGAUUAUAUUUUAAAAGCACACCUCAUUUCCGGGGUUUUGUAUUAUUUAAAGGUUCCUACAUCAGACACGCGUUAAAGGGGCAACUGUGCUUCCAAGCCCCAUCAAGAUGCCUUCGAGAUACACAAGGUACAUUUGCAUUCAUCGAGGCCUGCCAUGUUUUCUCUUCCUCCCCUGAAAGAGCUCAACAUGAUCCAGUGGGCUGUAGCCCCAGGCUAGAACAACACUUUAAAAAAACGCCUGCUUUCUGAUGAGAAAACACUUCCAGGAUUGCAAAGCUUGCUCUGAUCUGUCCAUCCUCUGUGCUGUCUACAAACGUUGCCUCAUCUCCUCUGUUUAAAGACUCCUUCAGCUUUCAAGAAGAUGACUUCUGGUUGAGUUGGACACUGACUUGGAACGCAGUAUUACAGUUUACUCUUACCGAUUUGACUUUGGAAACAUUGUUAAAUAUUAGUAAAAUUAGCAGAAAUUAGCCAGGCUUUCCUGUAGGUUGAACAUUAGAGAAUGGUGCUAAAAAAGCCAUGACCAUGAUUCCCGGGAAAUGCAUAAACUAUUAUGCGUAUACCUUAAAUGCAAUUUAAGUUCUUUUGGAUAAAAGUGUAUGCCAUAAAUGCAAUGCAUAAAUGUAAAUAAAUUAAUAAUAUUAAAUUAAAACCUCUCUAUAGGAAAAAAAAACUAAUCCCAUGGACCUGUUCAUUGCCUUGGAAUAACUGCUGGAUCACCCAAAGUUGGUUUUGUGCUUAUUGUGUUUCACAUCUCGAGCAUCUGCAGUUAAAUUAACCAAAACACAGCACUUGGUUCAAAUAUGAAUGUUUAAAAUGGAUGAGACCUUUAAGGUUUUGACUAGUGGCUUCCGUAAAGUCCACCAGUUGUGCAAGAAUCCUAAGCACAGAAGAGUUAUGGGUGUGCAUCAGACCUUUGUCAGAAGAAAAAGUAAAGGCUGAUCUUGUGUUACAUAAUGAGGGAUUCGGUCUCAUCUCUGAAAGCAGAUGGGGUGUGUGAGGCACAGUGGCUCCCCUGCAGUAAAUAACUUGUUGACUGCUUUAACCUCUCUUUGUGCUGUUCUGGAUGAGUGGACCUGCGGUGAACAUGUGCUUGGAAGAGUAAAGGAACAGCGAAGGAGUGGGAGGAAGUUGUUGGGAGGGCAUAUGGCAGCAGCCUCUUCUUCAGAACUCAAUGUAGUCUGCUCUGACACCCCCAUUUUCCCUCCACUACUCCUCGACCAAAGCAGUGCUCCGUCCUAGGCUGCAGAUUGCUUAUGACAGCCGCACUAUUUCAAGUGUGGAUUUGAGCUAAAUUGAAAUGAGCAGUACCACCUGUGCGGGUGGGGGCCUGUGCUCAAGUCUCCAGCAGUGGUGCAGGGAAAAACCUGCUACCUACAACCUUCAAAGCCACCGCCUUCUCCUGCAAUCUGCUUCCGCUCUUCCCCCCAUUCCUUCAGCUGCCCUACAAGGAUCCUUUCCCUGGAGCUCAACUCUCGAGCAGCCGGCUUUCAGAUAUUUCUCACGCUGCUAGACUCAUAUGGUGUUGGUUAGCAUGUAACAGACCUAUUUUCUUGAAGAAACUAUGGAUGAAACCUGACGGAAAGAAAAUAAAUGGGUGAUAUCGUAAUAUGACACUUCAAACGUGGAAACCCUUGCCCGUUUAUAGUCGGAUGUACUAGUGUUGAAUUAAGAAAGUGCUCAGGCGAGGUAAUGACAGACGGGAAGUGACUCAUUGCAGGCAGGAUGUAGUCGGUGUCAGUUAGCCAUGAGAGUGGUGAGGGUGGUGUGAGGACAGACAUGGGGUCAAACGCUCACCGCCUCAUCGAGUUCAUUUCCACACUGUCCUCUGCAGGGUGCUUCCCCUCUAAGGGACUCACCAGAGAAACGCUUCAUUCACUCACUGAUCAGUGGCCUUUUCCUCCUCCUCCUCAUACCCUCUCCCUGCCUCCCCCUCCUUUCUCACUGUCUCUUUCUCACACACACACACAUACUGGGGUGGUGCGAGGCUCUGAACUGGAAGCCAUGCUUUCUAAUAGCGCAACAGGAGGUGAGCAGUGUCACUCGCAGACUUUCAGCAGUGGGUGUCGGACUAGUGUAAACUGUAUCAUCAGUGGGAUUGUACUGGCAGACACACCUGCCAACUGUUCUGCAUACGGACAUCUGCUAAACCAUCAGAUAUGAGAUACAUUUCCUCAUAAAAAUCCACGUCAGACCAUCUUCUUAAUCGCACAAGCCCAGCGUAUCCAUGGCAGUCGAUGAAACAGCCCACAGCUGGGUGUAGUUAUCUCAACGCUGCUGGCCUGAAGUGACUUUUACGGGUCAAUGAGUAGGUCUGGUCACUCGAUGGCUGUUCGUUAAAGAGAGGUCAGAUGUUUCGCGUUGCAGUUAGUGGUGUUUGCGGCUAUGUUGCCACUCAGCUGGUCACUCCUAAUGAUCAGGCAAUCGAUAGGGCCAACAGUUCCUUAUGACCAAGCUUUCAAAAGAACAAACACACACACACUACACACACUUAGUAUGAGGUGGUAUGGCGCAGUGGUGUCAGAUGAUUAUCCGUGAGAGACUAGUCAGUGGAAGUUUCUGCUACUGUUGAAAGAGACAUUGGAAAGCUUGUCUGGAACAAUUAGUCAUAAACGGCUGACAAAAUACUGAAUUGUAAAUAUUAAAUAGCAGAGAGGUCAAUAUACUUGGAUUUCUAUCUCCCCUAUGCAAGAUAUGAAAGGAAUUGAGAAAUAUUAGCAUGCAAUUUUGAUUUUGUAUAGCCUGGCGCAGUCACUGUCUUUGAUCGUAAUGCCUAAAUAAUGUCGAUUUUGAUCAUUCUUCAGGAAUUAAUUUUUCGCUUGUUUAUCUUGUAGUCUAUCAGGAUUGUAGCUCUUCCGCCCAGAGAAUGAUUUACAUGAUUGAACAAACAGACUGUGUGUUUGUCUGUUAAUUCGCGAGUGUAGCCAAACCCAGAGAUUCGGAUUUUCACUUCCAUGGUAAGGGAAUGGCAAUGCGCACUACCUGUCUGGCAUCAUUCUCUGUAUAUGUGUGUGUGCUGUCUCAUGGUUAAGUGCACAGGAAGGCUCAUUGUAGUCCACUGGGCUGGCAGAUAAAAGCGGAUUCAUUCUCUGUGUCUGGCGACACAAGAAGUUCCUCCGAGUGGCUGGCUGGCCCGCCCCAUCUGCUGUCCACACUGAAAGGCCCGUUUGUUGGCUGCUCUUCAGAGACUGGGCCACUCGGAACCCGAGGGUUCUGGAAGUAAUCCAGAGAAGACUGUACCAAGCGGUUAGUCUGAGAGAGGCGCUGAGUGGCACCGUAAACAGGAGGCAGAGAGGGGACUUGCUGUCACACACAUUUUAUUGUUUCACAUCAGCACCAGUGCAGUACCACAAAACAGUAAAUAUACUGACAAAAGCAAAACUUUCAGUUAAAUGACCAAACAACAACAUGAUGAGCAGGUUCAAGAUGGCAGCCUGUUUACAUAUUACCACAUGACUUACAGUGUGUGUGCAUAUGCGCGUGACAAAAUAUAUUUUUCAAAUUCUACGAUACAACUUGGAUGCUUAGAUAAUAAAAUCACUAUUAAUAUUAUUGUUGUUUUGUUUGGAGCUAUUGUGUUUUCGUAAAGUGUUAGCCAAAUACUGAGCUAAAUGUAAUGGCCGUCUGUCUCCAGGGCUAAUGGAGCCAAUGAUGGACAUUUGUUACAAUGCUGCCUAGCAGUUACGCACAGCAGAGCACAUAAUUAUAUAAAAAUAUAAGAGUUUGUUGACUUCAACAAAGCACUUUUUAUGCUCGCUCUCCUUUUCUCCCUCUCUUUUUCCCUGCUUCUUAUGGUUUCUUUGUAAAGGAUUUAGAAAAUGAUGGCAGUUAAUUUAAUACAUGUGAUAUGUUGAAUGAAAUGGAAAAUAUUAAAUAUAAUGAGGUUAUAUAGCGCACCGCUUUUUAUAACAUAUGCAUGGAGUUCUUUAUUCACUAUUUUUUUCCUUCAUCUUCCUGACGCCGAUAAUUAAUAUCUACUUGUAAAUGUUUUGCUAAUCUCCUCGGUUAUAUCGGUGCAGUUCAGUCUGAAAACUCUAAUCCCGUAUUUACUUUCCAGCCGUUUUCUGUCCCCUGAUAAUCUGUUUAUGCGUGAGUGUGGCGUUGCGUUCUGCCGGGUGCUUGAGGGGUGUGAGCUGUGUUGUACGGAGGGCUCUGUGCGAUUACAGGAGCUCAGUCUUGGCGGGCACUCAGAGUUGUCAAAGCCUUUGAUCUGAACUGUCUUCAUAAUCACUUCAAAAAGUGUUCGCAGCACCGUGAGGGGUUUACAAAUUCACCCUGUACUUUUCCUGCACUCUUAAAGCGGUUGAUGCUCUGUGUUUAAGGCCUGUCCGCCAUGACGAGAGGUAAAAAAAAGGAAACAAUUUAAAAUUCACUCACUCUGCAGAUACAGUUCGAGUGAAGCAGGAUAUUUGUAAGAUUCAUUUUAUUCUUCCCUAUAUGCAUGGUCAUUUCAAACAUGUUUAUGAUGUGUCUGUCGCUGAUGCUCUCCUUUAAUUCUUCCUGACUUUCUAUAAACAAAGUGAGGGACAAAAGUGAAAUCCUUCCACAUUUUGCUCUCCAGACUCACAAGGGGCGCAAGCAGAAGGAAAAAAAAAACUCGACUGUUCUCUUUAACAACAGCAUUUGCAUAUUUUUAUAGUCUCUCAAAGAAAAAUAGCCGGCAGGCUAACAGCUCCAGCAGCAGUGUAAGCUGAAAACGGAAGCAGUGAGAUCUCUGUCUGUGUGUGUGUGUGUGUGUGUGUGUGUGUGUGUGUGUGUGUGUGUGUGUGUGUGUGUGUGUGUGUGUGUGUGUGCGUGUGCGUGUGCGUGUGUGAGCGUCUGAGCGUGUGUUUGUGUGUGUGUGUGUGUGUGUGUGUGUCUCCGCUCACAGCAUAGUCACUCUGUCCCUCUGCAGCAGAUUGAGUCUGGGUCCAGCGUGGAAGGAGGCCCCUCUCCCUGGAGAAGGGAGGGAAGGUGGGAGAGUUGAAGUUCCUCUCCUGCAAGAGAAAUAACAAUGUUAGAAUCAGUUGGAACUGCAUCUUGAACAAAUAUUCUUUCUACGGCACGCAAUACACAUUUUGUCUCCAGGCACAUUUUUUUCCUUCAGGUGUCCAGAUGCUCAGCAUGUUCGCUAAUAAAGUCUGUGUAGAUAUCUGAUAAUACCCCUUACACUUUAUUCACUGCGGUGAGUGAUUGAUCCUUGAAUUGAGAGGAAAUGUACUUUCAUUAUGUAAACAAGUAAAUAAAAAUUCAGCACUGAGUUCAUUUCAUUACAUCAUAGAUUGAGCUUAUCUCGAUUUGGGUUACUGAGAUAUUCUUUUUAUUUUUAUGUAUUUAAGUGAUAUUAUUUUUA